rnacentral:rRNA from 1 species
AACGCGUAGGUAAUCUAUCCUUACAUUUGGGAUAACAUCGGGAAACUGGUGCUAAUACCGAAUGGUCUUCAUUGCUUUGGGGCGAUGGGGUAAAGGUGGCCUCUUCAUGAAAGCUACCGUGUAGGGAUGAGCCUGCGUACCAUUAGCUAGUAGGUGGGGUAAUGGCCCACCUAGGCUACGAUGGUUAGCGGGUCUGAGAGGAUGAUCCGCCACACUGGAACUGAAACACGGACCAG